rnacentral:rRNA from 1 species
AUUGAACGCUGGCGGCAGGCCUAACACAUGCAAGUCGAGCGAUCGUCGGACGUCUUUGUAAUUUAUGGGCAUCUGCCCGCUAUAGGGGGCUAACUACUGUAAACGGUUGCUAAUACCUCAUACUAUCGUCUCAACCCCUAUGGGAUUAGCUAGUAGGUGGGGUAAAGGCUCACCUAGGCGACGAUCUCUAGCUGGUCUGAGAGGAUGAGCAGCCACACGGGGACGUAGACACGGCCCAGACUCCUACGGUAGGAGGCAGUGGGGAAUAUUGCAAAAUGGGCGCAAGCCUGAUGCAGCCAUGCCGCGUGUAUGAAGAAGGCCUUAGGGUUGUAAAGUACUUGCAGCGGGGAGGAGGUAACGGAAGAAGAAGGACCGGCUAACUCCGUGCCAGCCGCCGCGGUAAUUG